GUACGGGAGGCAGCAGUAAGGAAUAUUGGACAAUGGUCGCAAGACUGAUCCAGCCAUGCCGCGUGAAGGACUGAAGGUUCUAUGAAUUGUAAACUUCUUUUGUAUGGGAAAAAACCCCUGGACGUGUCCGGGGCUGAUUGUACCAUAAGAAUAAGGGUCGGCUAACUUCGUGCCAGCAGCCGCGGUAAGACGAAGGACCCGAGCGUUAUCCGGAUUCAUUGGGUUUAAAGGGUGCGUAGGCGGACUUAUAAGUCAGUGGUGAAAUCUCCAGGCUCAACUUGGAAACUGCCAUUGAUACUGUUAGUCUUGAAUCUAGCUGAUGUGGGCGGAAUAUGACAUGUAGCGGUGAAAUGCUUAGAUAUGUCAUAGAACACCGAUUGCGAAGGCAGCUCACAAAACUAGUAUUGACGCUGAGGCACGAAAGUGCGGGGAUCAAACAGGAUUAGAUACCCCGGU
rnacentral:rRNA from 1 species